UUCAUGUUAUAAAAGCAUGCCUCAAUUUAGAAAUAUUUUGUUUCAAAAUAACUCUGUAUAGACUUCCCAGAUACAACACCAGAGGAAGCAGGUUCUCCCUGGCUGUAAGGAGCACAUGGUGUCUGUUUCCUUUGCUUUGCUUUGCUGUGCAUUGAAGACUUCAGCAAGAACUACUGAACCAACUGUUUCGGGGGCAGAGCCAAUCAAGAGAGCUGUCAAAGACGUUUUUCAUGAACCCAGCAGGAAGAUGGACAGCAGUGUCCCUGAUGGAGACUCUUCAGCCUGGCAGACAUACAGGCGGGUCCAGUCGGGUGAGCCACUUGGCACUGGUCGUGCAGCUGGCUUUCUGGUGGAACAGGAGCUGGCACCAGGAGCAGGCUGGCCUCUCCUCUGGCAGAGAUGCAAGGCAGAAACAAACACACAGACUCUGCCACACUCCUGCAGAGGAGCAAACAGAGGCUGGCAGGGAGGGCUGCUCUUCAAAAGCUGCUGUUGUCUGGAGAUGCCUUUCAUCUGAAUGAGAGCCUUAAUAGGCGUUGUGUGAUGGCUCUCGUCGCACACUGGGCACCCAGUGAACCUCUUCUGUUAGGUUUUAAUUAAAAAACAAUGUUUGAAGGCCACAAU